GUGGGAGUGUCAUGGGCGUGUUUGACUGUGUCCAUAAAUGUAUAAAAGCAGGCCAUCUGGCCAGAUUAAAGAAUUCCAGCUUGUACUCCCAGAACUAUGUGGCAUCUGGUUACUGGGAGAAGAAAGUCAUAAUCACUACUCCAGCUUGUUCCAGUGUGGAGGAUUUAACAGGGAAAGUCCUUGUAAGGACUAGAGCUCCCAGGACUGAGUGUUGUCCAGUGCCUGGGAGUGGAUAGAGCGAGUUCCCCCAUUCGGCUCCAGGACCCCAGUCAAGUCACGGUGACUGGGGGCAGGAGUGCUGAGGUUUGUCCCCUG